UUAGAGUUUGAUCAUGGCUCAGGAUGGACGCUGGCGGCGUGCUUAACACAUGCAAGUCGAACGGGGUGCUCAUGACGGAGGAUUCGUCCAACGGAUUGAGUUACCUAGUGGCGGACGGGUGAGUAACGCGUGAGGAACCUGCCUUGGAGAGGGGAAUAACACUCCGAAAGGAGUGCUAAUACCGCAUGAUGCAGUUGGGUCGCAUGGCUCUGACUGCUAAAGAUUUAUCGCUCUGAGAUGGCCUCGCGUCUGAUUAGCUAGUAGGCGGGGUAACGGCCCACCUAGGCGACGAUCAGUAGCCGGACUGAGAGGUUGACCGGCCACAUUGGGACUGAGACACGGCCCAGACUCCUACGGGAGGCAGCAGUGGGGAAUAUUGGGCAAUGGGCGCAAGCCUGACCCAGCAACGCCGCGUGAAGGAAGAAGGCUUUCGGGUUGUAAACUUCUUUUGUCGGGGACGAAACAAAUGACGGUACCCGACGAAUAAGCCACGGCUAACUACGUGCCAGCAGCCGCGGUAAUACA
rnacentral:rRNA from 1 species